CCUACGGGUGGCAGCAGUGAGGAAUAUUGGGCAAUGGACGCAACCCUGACCCAGCCAUGCCGCGUGCGUGAUGAAGGUCUUCGGAUUGUAAAGCUCUUUUGGUUGUGACGAUGAUGUCGGUAGCUUUUAAAGAAGCCCCGGCUAACUUCGUGCCAGCAGGCGCGGUAAUACGAAGGGGGCCAGCGUUGUUCGGAAUUACUGGGCGUAAAGGGAGUGUAGUCGGUUUAGUAAUAUAGUGGUGAAAUCCCAGGGCUUAACUUUGGAAUUGCCAUUAUAACUAUUAGACUAGAGUUACAGCGAGGAUAGUGGAAUACCCAGUGUAGAGGUGAAAUGCGUAGAUAUUAGGAAGAACACCGAUGGCGAAGGCGACUAUCUGGCUGUACAUUGACGCUGAGGCUCGAAAGCGUGGGGAUCAAACAGGAUUAGAUACCCUAGUAGUC
rnacentral:rRNA from 1 species